AUGACCAGAUAUGUGGCAGUGGGGUUCACUGGGUGCAUGUUUGUGCUGUUCUGCAGAUUGAUUGAUGAAACAAAACACCACAUUUUGAAAUCAGCUCACCCAUCAGGCAUGUCUGCAAACCGGGGUUUCUUUGGAUGCAGGAGGAGGCUGCCAAGGUCAAGGCUGCUGGAAGAACUGGAGGUGCCACACGAGGUCCAUUACCUGAGAAGCCUGACACUAAAGAUGAAACUGUGCUACAGAAUUGGAGGUGGCACACGAGGUCAGUUAAGAAGGCAAAUGGUGAAAGGAAUUCUCAGAGAUGUGUGAUGUUGAACUGAAACGUGCUGUAAGAGACUAUAAGGGGUAUUGCUAUUGUUAUCAGUGCAGAUAAUACUUGUGAUUCUGUUUGGUGUUGUAUCUGAUUUGAAUGUAAACCUGAGGUUGUAUCUGUUAUAUUGGUUGAUGGGUUGAUAUAAUCUGGAAUGU